UUUUGACCGGUAUGAAUGGUGUCACGAGGGUCUCACUGUCUUAAGGAAAUCUCCAGUGAAAUUGAAUUUGUAGUGAAGAUGCUACAUCCAAAUUGUUAGACGAGAAGACCCCAUGGAACUUUACUGGAAACUUAUGUCGCUGACUUAAAUAGUUUUAAAAUGUGGUGCGGAUUAAUUAGGUUAAAAAGCUCACUUUUUUAUUUGAAGAAAGGCAACUCAAAAACUUAUGUCUUUGGGAUUUGGUAAGUGGGACAGUUUGGUUGGGGCGAUCGCCUUUAAAAAAGUAACGAAGUCGGGCUGGAGAUAUAUAUUUAGUUAUGUCUGACUGCCAGGGGAAACCUAGAACAGACACGAUCUUUGGAUGUGGCUAAUAACCCGGGUUAGGUG
rnacentral:rRNA from 1 species